rnacentral:rRNA from 1 species
GGGAAACUCACCAGGUCCAGACAUAAUAAGGAUUGACAGAUUGAUAGCUCUUUCUUGAUUUUAUGGGUGGUGGUGCAUGGCCGUUCUUAGUUCGUGGAGUGAUUUGUCUGGUUAAUUCCGUUAACGAACGAGACCUUAACCUGCUAAAUAGUAAUGCGUAUCUCCGGAUAUGCAGCUAACUUCUUAGAGGGACUUUGCGAUUUUAAGCGUAAGGAAGUUUGAGGCAAUAA